CUCUCCUGCUCUUAUUAUAGCCAUUGAAAAAGGUAAUAUUGAUAUUGUUAAAUUGUUACUAGAGAAAGGAGCUGAUCCUAAUGUUACUAAGUAUACAUCUAGUGGCUCUCCUGCUCUUAUUAUAGCCAUUGAAAAAGGUAAUACUGAUAUUGUUAAAUUGUUACUGGAGAAAGGAGCUGAUCCUAAUGUUACUGAGUAUACAUCUAGUGGCUCUCCUGCUCUUAUUAUAGCCAUUGAAAAAGGUAAUACUGAUAUUGUUAAAUUGUUACUGGAGAAAGGAGCUGAUCCUAAUGUUACUGAGUAUACAUCUAGUGGCUCUCCUGCUCUUAUUAUAGCCAUUGAAAAAGGUAAUACUGAUAUUGUUAAAUUGUUACUGGAGAAAGGAGCUAAUCCCAAUGCUACUGAGUAUAAAUCUGGUAGUAAUCCUGCCCUUAUUGUAGCCAUAAAGAAGAAUAAUAUUGGAAUUGUUGAUGUGCUACUUGAAAAAGGAGCUGAUCCUAAUAUUGGUUUUAAUACUGUAAGUUGCCAGUACAUGCAUGUAGUUAUGUAACAGCCAGUGCAUCAU